CUAACUAAAUUAACUUGAAUGUGCUAAUUUAAUAGAAAUGGAAAAUAAAACCCGCUAAAUACAAAACCAACUGUUAAGAGCUAACUUUUCCAGAAUUAAGGAAUCUUCUCUUCAAGUAGUUGCCCGCCGUUGUAAGUGAUUGUAAAUGCCCAUGGUAAAUGGAGCUGGAUAAUGGGUGAGUUGUUAAAAGAGCUAACUAAUCCCUAGCUUUACGCUACCUUCUUGCUGUAAGUUGCCACGCUUAUUCAGCCAUGUAAUGUAGCUCAUUAUUACAUCCUAAGCUAAUAUGAUAUGUAUAGAUUACAUGAUUCUUAACAGAAUACAUAGCAAUAAAAUUACACAUCACAAUAUUAAAUAAAAGAGAAACAAACUCCUAAAUGAAUGAAGACUCCCAUGUUAACGUUGACUUCAUUAAUGAACCCAGAGUAACAAAGGAAUCAAUGGCUCGAUGGGCUGAAAUGAUGACCCCAUUAAUGGUUCACAAGGAACAACAACUUUUAAGGCCAUGAUACUUUCUCCAACCAUGUUGAUAAGUUUGUGUUUUUGACCAAGUGUAAUGAAGGAUCCACGCUUGUAAUGAUAAGUGCAUAUUCUAACAUCAUUUCGUUGCAUAUUAGAAUGCAUUUUCAUGUAUUAUUAGAGUCUUUACAUUGCAUUUAUGCAUAUGUCCCUUUUUAUAAACUAUGGAACUUUCACAGGUUGUUUGGUUUCUUAAUGUAAUUUCAGGCACUUUGGACUCCUAUUUGCAGACUAUUAAGACACAUGGAUAACCUUCAAAAAGAUAUAUCAUGUAUCCAAAACGGAUUGAAAUUGAAGAAGAUUCAAACUACUAAGGGCUUUGAUGAGCUAUUCCUGAGAGGCAACCCAAGUUUUCUAACCUUAUUUGUUUUCUUUUUAAUUUUAAAUUUAGGGAAUUUUAGUUUUUUUUUUAUUUUCUUACGAACUUUUAAAAUUGUGCAAAUGGGAUCUAGGGGUUGAGUUCCUAUUAUUCAUUUAGAUUAAUCUCUAGGUUUUUUGAUCUUAUGAUGUGUAAGGAACGAAGUUCAACUCUAAGUUUUUACCCACAACCCUUUUGGUAUAGUUUUUCCUUUCCUACUCUUCAAGUUUUGAGAGUCAUCUCUCUUUUUGCCAUUUAUAUUGGUUUAACUUGAUUGUGUGGUUGAGUAAGUUGUUCUUGUCAUGUGGUUGUGGAUGUUCCCCUUUUUGUUCUCCUCGUAUUAUACUUUAUCACAUUGAGGGCAAUGUUUUAUUAAGCUUAGGUGGGAGAAUUUACUCUUUGGGUCAAGACGUGCGUAUAUAAUCCAUUUACGUUUGUUAUAGAUUCUUUUUUCUUGAAUGUUUGCAUGUUUUGGCUUUGUGGACAUGCCUUCUGAAAACCUUCACGAGACCUACUCAUUCACUAGCGCAACCUAAGGGUUGUUGUACAUGCUAAGCGCAAUUGUGAUUCAUACAAAAGAUUUGGACAAACGCCUCCUCCAAAGUUCGUAUGGAUCAUAGUAAUACUACCCCCAAGGUUCAUAUGGAGCGUAGCCGACCAUAUCAGGUCAAAGGAGUAACCAUCCUCCACCCAUACCUUGCCCACUUUUUAUUUUCAGUUCAUAAACUAUGUCAGCCAAACAGUUGCUAUAAUAGCCUUGUUUUUAAGUACCUUUAUUUAAAUAUUAAUUAUAUUUAUUAAGUUAAUUAUGUUUUGAAAAUUCUUAUUUUAUUUGAGUUGCGAAGUAUAAAUUUUAUUUGUCAUGCUGUAAUGUAUUAGUUUAUUUAAUUAUAUGAGAUUAUUUUUAUUAUUUUUAUUAUUAUUAAAACUAUUUUGGGUCUUAUCUGCGACUAAAUUGUGUGCUAUUUGGUCAAAUAGGAAGUCAAAGUCGAUUUUUCCUUCAACUCUUAUACCUUUUGUCGGUUUAAUGAAAUAAAACCCCAACCCGUGAAAAGAACCCAAAACCCAUUCCAUUAUUUUGUUUCUCGUACCUCCUUCCUCGUAAAAUUCCAGAACCCCAAAACGAAACCCCUCCCCUGUUCUUUGGGCUCGACGAACUGAAACCCCCAAAACCCCGUGAAACCCCGGUGAACCCGCGCCGUCGUCGGCCGUUUUCCGUCACCGGAGACUCGCGCUGCACCUCGCAGCCCUGCUCCUCUCUCCGUCGUCGUCGCGCUGCAGCUGUACUACCUCGCCGGCGUUUUUCGCGGCUGUCGGAGACCUACGCACUUCGCAGCCCUUGUUCAUCUCUCUCGUGUGUGGUGUUGUUGUUCGUGUUCGUUAUUUCUCCGUUUUCUCUCUCCUGUUCUUGUGUCGUCGUUGCGGUUGGUUGCUGCUGCCGUUCUGUGCCGCCGUGGCCUGCUGCUACCUCGCCGGUGCUCAACAAGCCUCGCGAAGCUCCACUUCUGAAGCUUCGAAACCCCCUCCUUCAUCCCGUUGUUCUUCGUUGCUCACGCAGAGUAGAGUUUCAAAACCUCUCCCUCAACCCUCUGUCACACUCUUCUUCGCUGCUCUACUUGAGCAGAGAGUCAAACAUUGUUGCAGGUUUGGUGCUGUGAGCUCAGGAUUCUGAAGUGAAGCAAGAUAAAGAUGUCGUCGUAGCUUAUGGAUUGAGUUUGUAUCUAGAUAGUGUAUUUGAGAUUAGAUAUUUAUAUUUCGUUGUAUACAAUAUUUGGGAAUAUUAGUCGAGAUAUCGGUGUAAUUGAAGUCUUAUAUAAAGGAUUUUGUUUUGUGGGCCAAUAACCCACAGGUUUCAGGAUCGUUUUAUAGGUUAUGUUUCCGCUGCGAGUAAAUGUUUAAUCCGAGGCUUAUUAAGCAUUGAUUGUGAUUAGUGGAUCUUAAGUGUAUUUACCUAGCAGCUCGGGAAAGCGGGCUGUUACAGUUGCGUAUUCAUAUUAUCAAAUAAUAUUUUCAUAAUCAACUCACAACAUCAUAUUCAUAACUAUGGCUAUAGUACAAACUUAAGUAUCAAAAACAUAACAGAGAGAUCCACAUACAUAAGGGCAUGAGUAAAUUAUUUUACUGAACAUAAAAGUUACCUAACCGCAUUACAAUUCCAACAACACAAUCUCCUUCAUUAAUCUUGAUCUCCAAAUGAGACUUAAAUCCAUAAUCAUUCUCCAAUAAUUUCGCUCACAACAAUAACAAUAAUUAAUAAUGUAAUAGCCCUGUUUUUAAGAGCAUUUAUUUAAAAGUUAAAUAUAGUUAUUGAGUUAAUCAUGUUCUGAAAACUUUUAUUUUAUUUGAGUUGGAGUAUGAAUUAUAUUGAUGUGUUUGUAAUGUAUUUAUUUAUUUAAUUAUAUGAGAUUAUUAUUAUUAUUAUUUUAUAUUUUGGGUAUUGUGCAAUUAGUUGAGCGGUAUUUCGCAAAUUAGAAAACCAAAGUCGGAUUCCUUUUCGAACCAUUCGUUCCUUUGUUAUUAUUGUAGGUCAAUGAAACCCCAUCACCUUCCUUUACUCUCUAGUGGAUUCUAAAAUUUCAAAACCCCAAAACCCAAAAGAGAACCCCAACCUCGUGAAACCACUUCUCCCUUGCAUCUCUCUCUGCAUGUGUUGUUGUCAUGUCAGCCUACUCGCCUGAGUUUCGAGCGUCCUGCCGCCGCAACCUGGCGGCGUAUCCGUCCAUUCCCUUUGCCCUUGUCGCGAGUAGUUGAUGUUCGCAAGUGCGGCGCUCGUGCACCGUCUCUCUCCCCUUUGUUUGUUGUUGUUGUAAUCUAGCGGUGGUGUCGCCGUUCUAGUUUGGCCACCGCGAUUCGUAGCUCGCCGGACCUGCUGAUGCACUGCUGCUCGUCGGUGACGCCGCUGUGCACUGAAGCUUCGAGACCCCCUCUGUUCCUUUUUCCCCUGUUCUUCAUUGCUAUUGUGAGCAGAGGUUUUAUGUUGUGAGCUCGGAAUUGGAAAUGGAGCAAGAUAAAGAUGUCAUUGUAGAUUAUGAAUUGAGUUUGUAUUUAGAUAGUUGAUUCAGGAAUAGUUACUGAUUUCUCAUUGUAUAAAUUUUUGGGAAUUUAGUCGAGUUACUUGUGUAAUUAAGGAUAUUUUUCCGAUGCAAAGUAAUUUAUUUAAGAGUUAAUUUUAGUUA